rnacentral:rRNA from 1 species
UACGUAGGGGGCAAGCGUUGUCCGGAUUUAUUGGGCGUAAAGAGCUCGUAGGUGGUUCGGUAAGUCGGAUGUGAAAUCUCCAGGCUCAACCUGGAGGGGUCAUUCGAUACUGCCGUGACUAGAGUUCGGUAGGGGAGUGUGGAAUUCCUGGUGGAGCGGUGAAAUGCGCAGAUAUCAGGAGGAACACCGGCGGCGAAGGCGGCACUCUGGGCCGGUACUGACGCUGAGGAGCGAAAGCGUGGGUAGCAAACAGG